AACCAUUCUCACCUGCGGCUAGACCUGCGGAGGGAUCAUUACCGAGUGUGAACCCCCCCGUAAAAAAGAGGGGUUACCUCCCGUCCUUUGCUGGGAACCCCUUUCCAACUUGGAAGGAGGUUGUUUUCAGACCCUUCUGCUUCGGUGGGGUAACCCACCGGAACAACCUCAAAAAUAUUCUCAAUUCAAAACCGUUCAGUCCGAGAACUUUUUUGAAAAGCGAAAAAACUUUCAGCAACG
rnacentral:misc_RNA from 1 species